UACGUAGGGUGCAAGCGUUAAUCGGAAUUACUGGGCGUAAAGCGUGCGCAGGCGGUGAUGUAAGACAGAUGUGAAAUCCCGGGCUCAACCUGGGAACUGCAUUUGUGACUGCAUCGCUGGAGUGCGGCAGAGGGGAUGGAAUUCCGCGUGUAGCAGUGAAAUGCGUAGAUAUGCGGAGGAACACCGAUGGCGAAGGCAAUCCCCUGGGCCUGCACUGACGCUCAUGCACGAAAGCGUGGGGAGCAAACAGG
rnacentral:rRNA from 1 species